UACCCCUCGAAAGACUUUAUUUAUAUAAAGUGCUUCGGCAUUGGGCCGGCGAAUGAGGCUUUCUAAAGUAGAGCACUUCGCAGCCUGCAAAUUAGUGGCAGCGCGUUAGUAAUUCCCCUGUGUAGUACCUUGCUCACAUUGGAUAACUUUGUCGUUAGCAUUAAACCAUAACUUUUA
rnacentral:misc_RNA from 1 species